UACGUUAGUAUUCUUUUCUUUAACGAAAAAGGCUACCUUAGUCACGCUGCCAAGAGCGUGUAAUUGUUAUUUCUCUGCCAUUUUAUAUACGUAACUUGUGAUAUAUCUGAUCCGGGGGUAGGGGAAAAAAAAUCCAAAUUGAAUUUUUAAAUUGGACUGUUAAAUAGUUAUUUGUUAUAUUUAAAUAAAUUGAAUGUAAAGUCAUAAUAUUUAAAAGAUUAUCUGUGGUGUAGUGGUAUUUCCAGAUUUUUAGUUGAAACAUGUUUCGGGUUCGAUUGCAGAACUUUAGCAAAAAAAAAAGUCAUAAUUUUUACCAUAUAAAAAUUGAAUAGUUAUAAAAGGAAAUUUUACUCUAGAAAAGGAA
rnacentral:lncRNA from 1 species